rnacentral:lncRNA from 1 species
UAAAUUGAAUGAUAGAUUUAUUUGAUAAGAUUUAGUAUCUCAUGGUAGACAUCAACAUACAUAAACACUGACUCGGCAGAAAUAAAUAUGGUCCAAUACUAACUAAAAUAUAGCCAAUAUCACAAUUAAUGUCACUUUUAUUACUGUGUUUUCUUUAUAGUUUGCCGUCUAUUGUGAUGUAUUAAGCAAUAUGAUAAAGAAUGGAAUGAUACUAUAAAUUAGGCCUAAAUUAACCAUGCAUAAUACUUGUAUUUUAACAACGGAGUUAUAAUAUGUUCAUGCAUUUAAAAACAUGUAGGUUUAGUUAUACAAACAACAUAUACAUAAAUAUUAAAUACCACACAAUAUUUGUUUCAAUCAUGUAAUAAGUUGGUGUUAUUCCAAGUAGCCUUUACACUGUUAUCACAACAUGUCCCCCUCAACAUGUUUUUGUUUUAAUACUGUAUUAAAUUACUAUGUGGAAAUGUCUAUAUUUAGGCACUAUUUUGAAAUAUAAAACUUGAUUGAACAUAAGUAAAAUAACACUUAACAUUGAUUUUUGUAUUAGAACUACACAUAAAAAUAACUUAUCUAUUUAAAUAUGUUCUUUAUCUAUUUAAAAUAAAAGUGUGAGAAAAUACAAGAUUUUUUGAAAAUUUUAAAGUCCUAGGUAAACAAUUCCUUCAAAAAUCACACUGCCAAAGUAAUCUCAAUUAUUAACUUUUAAAAAAGAUAUGUAAAGAACCUAUCCAGAAAAGUUCAAAGCCUAUAAAUCCAUUAAAGUGGAACAUAAUACGAGAUCUAAGCUUGCUACUUGGCUGUAAAAAACACAAUUUGUGUACAUGGGUCAUAUACCGGUACUACCUAAACAUAGCUAUCACUUGUGGUUUCAUGUGAAAAUAGUACAUAAAAUAAUUCUAACAUGCUUACAGAGUGUAACCUUUAUGAAAUCAAGAAAAACUGGUAACAUUCUUAAUAAACAGUUGAUUUUUUAACAGAGAAAGAAGGAGAAACUGUGUGAUUGUAUUUAUACAUGAACAUGUUAAAAAAAUGCAUUGUGGGAUAGCAUCACUUCCUGACAUGCAGUGAAUACAUGUACUAUGUUUGCUACAAAUUUAAACAAAAUUCAUGAAAAAAAAAUGUUUAAUCUAACCUUGGACACAUUAGUCGAACUUGGUUGAAAGACUGUUAAUUUUGAAUACCAUCAUGUAUUGUCUAUAUAAAUUAGAAAUGUGAAGUGUGGAUGUGCAAAUGAAUUGUUCUUCCCUUUCUGCUCCAGAGCAGUGACUGAGUUUAUAUCACAGGCUAAAACCAGAACAAAUCUCAAUAAUAUUUAUAAAUAAAAAAAAAAAAAAAAAAAAAGUGUGGAAAAAGUUGAAACAAAAAAAGUGUGGAAAGAGUUGAAAAAAAAAAAAAAAAUAAUCCACACAGACCCCCCCCCCCCCCCCCCCAGUGGAUAACAUUCACUUUUGGGUAAAGGUUGAUCUUUAUUCCUACUUUUGCAUGUUUGUGAGAUUUAAUCCUUAUUACAUAACUGCACACUAAAAAUAAAUUCAAUAUCUUGAACCAUAUCCUAAAAAUGUGAAAACAAUAAACUAAUGAUGGCCUAGUGAUUACUAUAUGGUAAAGCCAUCUUUCUUUCAUGGAGGACACUAAUUAAACAAAUUGUUAUCAGAGAAAUACCGGUAUGAUUCAUUAUACUGUAUGAUCACAUGACAGUUUCAUAGACACAGGUUCUGAAGCUAAUAUCUGGAGUCAAUUUUACAAAAAACUUCGGACUAAGAUUGAUUGUAAGUUUACUGAAUUGUUGAUGACUCAUAAAUCUUAGUCAUUAGUGUUUUUGUGAAAUAGACUCCUGAUAAUCUCUAACUAACAAUAAAGUACAUACAACUUGGAUAUUCUGUCAUAAGUCAGUAGCAAUGAAGCAGCCUGUCAACUAUUGUUUUAACAAUAUAUAACAGCAACUUAUUUACUUACAUAGAGAUAUAUGUUUUCCUAAAUCAAUAAGAAAGUAAUAACAAUUUAUGUAGUUGCUGAUUUCUGCAUCUAUGAAAAACUAACAAACUUUUCAUGUUUUACCAAAUAUUAUACUAUUUAAUGAAAUUUUCAGACCUCUAAGACUAGUUUGUUCACAUAAAUCUAUUCCUUCAUAUAAAAGACAAACAAAGGAUUUCAAAUAUUAACACUUGCAUUGUUUGAUUUGGAGUAGACACAAAAAACAUAUAGAAAUAUGAUCAUAUGUAAAUGAUUUUAUAUAGAAAUAUGAUCAUAUGUAAAUGAUUUUAUAUCAAAAUUGGCAAAGCAAUGAUACUUUUACAUGGACAGUCUCUUUCUUGAAAUAAAUCGACAAACAUCAUGCUUGGUUUUAGCUACUUUAAAAUUAGUACUUACAAAGGUUAAUGAAUUUUUUUAUUAAUUUCUUUCAGCUUUCUUGCAAUUAAAAAAAAACCACUACAUUUUUGGAAUUAGCUUCAGAUUAAUUAGUAGAGCUUUUAUCUAUGUUAUGAACCAUCUUUUGAAAAAUUAAUACAAACAGUAAAAAGAAAAUUUUAUAAAUACAAAAAUGAAUUAUAUAACAUGUACAAGUAUAUAACAAAUAUGAAAUCAGUAAAGAGAAUUAUUUCAAAUGCAUUUUACUAAUAAGCAAAUUUUACCUCAUAAAUAAAAUUUAAGUUUAUAUAUAUAUUUUAUCAACAAUGAACAAUACAUUAAGAACUUAAUAAUAUAACAGCACUAUUAAACAUAAUGAGACAAAAACUAGGUUUUACAAUAUACACAUAAACAUAUAAACAAAAUUAAAUAGGGUGUACUGGAUUUGUGUAUUUUUUCCACUGUCUGCAUCCUUACUGGCUAUUCAUAUGUAUGUUUAAAACUCAAUAAGACAUAGCUAUUCCCUCAGAUUAAUGAUCUGAGUAUCCAAUGCAAUCACCACUGUAGCAAAAUGAAAUAAAUUUUCUUAGGCUUAAGAUGGGUUAAUGGAACAACUCGAAACUUCCACUUUCAUAUUAUUCUUUUACCUUUUACUUGCUUCUGUUUGUUUAUCAGAAAUUUUUGUUCAUUUUCCUAGAUAAUUACUGACAAUUGGUUAAUGCUUCUUGUUUUAGUUUCUUUUUAAUUACAUGCACUUAAUUUCACUAUCUGUCGACUCCAGCUUCCAAGUUACAUGUACAAAAUGAAAUUUCUAUAAUUUUUUCAUGUGAAAAUAUUUAACAUUAAAGGAUAUUGAUCAGUUCCAAUGGUGCAAAACACUGUCAUUCAAAAGUUAUACUCCUUCUUUAUCUUAAUAAUAUCCCAAAAAUGAAAGUUUGCCAUAAUUACCUAUGAUUGAAAUAAAGCCUAAGCGGUUGUACCUUCCUGUUUCCGCUACUCUAAAAGAAUGGUUGAUAUGAACGGAUGAACUGAACAUGCUUUGACAAUAUACCUUUGUACUUUUUGCUUACAACAUUAUAUUUGUUAAUCUUUAAUUUUAAUAAUAAAAUCUUCAAUUUAUCUUUUGAAAAAGUACUGAAGUUAAAUAACUUAAUAUUUUGCAUCUUUAAUGCCCAUCUUCAUUAAACCUAUUUAUUUGAAUAAAAGCUACUUUACAAUUCGUAUAUCCAACUAUAACAGACUACAAACAAAAAUACCACAUAGACAGGAAUGUACUAAUCUAUAACUACAUAUUUUGAUUGUGUUAAUGAUAAACUGGGUAAUAAAUAACAUUUAAUCAUGGAAUAAUUAACAAGUAAACAAAACAAAAAGAAAAUCCAAGGCACCACAUUUGUAUAUUUAGUUCAGUCUUCCUUAAAUUCCUAAUAUGGCCCCCAAUAACUAACAAUAAGAUAAAUAAAAACUUGUUACUUAUUAUUUGUGUUAAUUUAUCAUAUUAUUACAAUUGUUACCUUGAAAAAGAGUUCCUAAUAAACUUACGAGUUGCAUCGAUAUUCUAUGAAAUUGUAAAUAAAAAUCAAAUUAUCAACCAUCUGGAAAGUUUUGAAAUGAUUUUGGCAUCCUCUUAAUGAAGUUCCUAUUUGGAUAAUUUUGUUCUGUUAUAUUAAUCUGAAAAAACUCCAAUAAUUAUAAACAGAAAAAUAUAUAUAUUACAUGAAUAGAUUUAUAAUUUAGAUAACCCCAAUUUUAUUCAUAAAUAAACAUAUAUAUAUGUAAAGGCAUUUAUAAUACUAAAAUUUAUAUUUCUAUUUACUUAUGACAAAUAGCUUUAAAGAAUAUAACAAUAGAACAAUAUAAAUUCCAAAAUCUGUUAUGUAUACCCUGUUUUUUUAUGACUUCCUUUCUUCUAUAUGGAAUCUCAAACAAAAAUGUAGCAGCCUUGGAAGAACAACUGCUACUGGUGUAAAUUGAUAUUUGAACUUCAAAACAUUGCAAUGCUACAUCAAAAAAGGAGCUCAAUAACAAUUUAUCUAUCUAAAUAAUAUGAGGGAAAAAAAAACCAGAUAUAGAUGGACUAUGAAGUCUAAAAUUUGCAAGAUAUGAGCAAUAAUACAAAAUAAACCCUCAUCUCAUUCAACUGUGAAUACAAUGUAUACCAUAGAAAGAAACACUUUUCAUGAAAGAUGUCUAACCCUAAAAUAAAUUAAGCGGUUUGUGACUUGUUCUUUGGGAUGACUAUCUCUCAUAUGUAAAAUUGACAAAGUACAUAAUUUAAAACGAUACACUUCUUAAAAAACAGUUUAGAAAAAAAAAUGAGAUACACAAUGUCAUAAGGAUAUAAAUAUUUUGAAAGUUUUAUUGAAAACUGUGGUAAAAGAAAGAGUUAUAGAUGACAGAUGGAGACAAAUUUGGAAACAGAGGGUUUAAUCAGCUAUGGGAAGCCACAUCAUUUGUUAAAUCACAGAGAUAAGAAAUGUAUGCAACUACAACAUACACCUGGCAAACUAAAGGCAGGACAAAUAUGUACAAAUUAUACACAAGUCUUUAGUGGCAAAAAUAUGGUUAAGUCAACUGUUUUAAAUACAAAGGAAAAACUAAUUCAACUUUCUUAAAUUUUCUUCCCAAUCCUUGUGUCCUUUUUAAAUAUCAAAAGAGACUGAGUUUGGAAUUAUUUGUUAAAAUCAGGUACAUGGCUUAAUGUGUCAAUACAAAACAGGGAUAUUUUAUUCUAUAGAUAGUAAUAUAACUCGUAUCUAAAUUUUUGUCCUAGAAGAUAACAUAUUAAUCAUAACUUUCUGAUUCAAUUUCCUAUAUGUUUUGGCAAGUUUGUUUUCCUUCAAAAUUUAACGUUUUUCCCAAUAUUUCUGUAUAUGAUUUUAAUAUUUCAAUUAUCUAUGUUUUACAAUCAAUCAAUUAAUCCUUUGACAACAUUUCUCUGAUCCAUUAUACUUUACACAAAAGGAGUAGGUUUCGAUAAUGCCUUAAUAUGGCCCCUAUUUCUAGCUUUAAAAUUGAAAUAUAGAUUUACUGACUAGCAUCACAAUGAUUCAUAGCUAACACAAUGAAAAGAAAGGAAAUAGGUCUUCUUGAUGAUAAUUUAGAUAUAGCAGUCAUGUGGAUUUCUUUCAAAUUCAACUGAUCAAAUAUGCUAUAUAGCAGCUAAAAAUGAAUAAGAGUUGAUUUUUUUUAACAGGACUUUUGGAAUAUGAGAUACCAUAUUGGUAUACAAUGUAACUAGACCCAGUUUAAAGCAAUUAACAUGUUUCACCUCUAAGACUUUUCAAAGAAUUACUAAGAAUUCUAAUCUCCAUUUCUUUUAAUUAACUAUAAUACAUAUUUAUUAUCUAUCUAUUUAUGUAAACCCUGUUUCUCUCUUCCUAUUUUUUAAUGAUACAUGGGUCUUAUGUUUUUUAUGAUAUAUGGGUCUUAUGUUUUCCGUUAUCUUGGUAAUAAUGACACAGAAAUACAAUAGAAAUUUCAACUGAAACUUGUACAUUGCAAAAUAAUCCUUCUUAAACAAACUCAAAAUCUUUAAAUGCAAAUUUCAACACACACUUUAUGCAGGAAAGGCACUACAAAAAUUGGCUAUAAAUAUAUCAUAAAGUCCUGGUGGUCAUUUGCAUAUGAGAGAUGAUUAUUAUAAAGGUUUGUACCAUUUAAGCAUCCUUUAUUGUAGGACAAUCUCACAUAAUUAGUGUGCUAAAUAAUGCAUUUAAUAUUCAUCAUCAUCAAUUGUCAAAUUUAUAAUUUUGAUUUUAGGGAUUCACAAAAAAAUCUUUUGAAGAACAAUAUAUUACAACAACUGUGUAUACCUAUAUAAAUCUGUCUUCAGUUAUUCAGUUGAAAUUUCCAUGAUAAAAAAAUCAAUUGUUUAAUCUAUAAGCAAAUGAUGUCUGUAUGAAUAAUGCAAGAUUACAAAUUACUGAAUUUAUCCUCAGAAAAUAAAU